CCUCUGCUCAGCUAUGGGUUGGAAAUGGCCUAAACGGCGCUACUUUGCCGGCCGGCCUUAGUCAGCCGAAAAGCAAAGAAGAUCACGUUCAAACUCAAUUCCCUUGACUCGCUGCGAGCUCUGAGGCACCUCAACGCUUCCCAAUCCGCCGGCGUCAGAGCGCUCACCACCUGUUCGUCAUUAAUCCUCAAACAGUCUAACCCACUUCUCUCUCCCUCUCCAUCGCCGUCUGCCUUCGCACCGUCGCACAAUCUGCAUGUCGUUCGAACUUCUAGAACAGCCGCGAUCUCAGUCAGUGGUGAAAUUUGGAUUCCAGUGAAGUCGGUCGUGAAAUCCCUGGAAUACCAAAACCGAAAAACCUCGAGAUCGUUCAAGUUCUACUGCCGUUAUGCAGACCUGGACUGUCGAAGGGAGAUGAUGAAAAGCAACUGCAGACCUGGACUGUCGAAGGGAGAUGAUGAAAAGCAACUGCAGGAAAGCAGCAAUGGAGACCCGGCAGCAGCAUAUUCAAGUCUAUCUGGGGAGGAAUUAAUGAAGGAAUGUAUAACGAAAGGGACCGAGUUGGUUUAAGCUAUUGCGAAUAGUCUUUUCAACUCACAUUCAAUUGAAGACAUAGACAGUCCCAUUGUGCAGUUGUUCGCUUCCUGAAACUAAACUGCCAAGAUAGAAGCAUCUAAGUCAUUCCUCUUAGUUUACGAUUCUCCAACGAUGUUUUUUGCUGCCAGUGCCUAAACCUCCAACAAAAUGGGAAACUUUUGCCAUAACAAAAGGGAUUUCCCCUGAGAGAUGGUUGUGUGAGACAUUGAGAACCUAUAAAUUUGUGAGCUGUUCCAUUUCUGAAGGUAUCACUCCGGAGAGAGAAUUGCUGCUAAGGUCCAAGUUGCAACUCAGGUGUAAGUUACCAAUCUGUGCCAGUAUUUCCCCACUCAAGUGGUUCUGGUUCAAGUUUAGAAGCUGCUGUUUUGUCAUUUGUCCGAGCUCAGGUGGGAUUAGGCCUGAAAUUUUAUUUCAACCCAUACGCAUAUAUGUGAUGCUUAUGCAUUUUCCCCACUGUGGUGAGAGUGUACCAACAAACUGGUUCUCAUUAAGAGUAAUGAAUUCAAGACUGGGAUGCACACCAAAUGCAUUUAUAAUGUUCCCGGUAAAUUGGUUCCCAUCAAACAGGACUCUAGACAAUGCCAAACAAUUCCUCAAGCACUCGGCAAAUACCCUGUUAGAUUGUUAUUGUUCACUUUGAAACUUGCAAAGCGAAUCUGCUACACAACUCCGGUGACAGUUACAAAACCAAGCUCGAAAGCAAUAGAAGACUGAGGAAUUCUUACCAAGGUCAAGGUAAUGAAGCUUCCUGAGUUCGCCUAUUUCAAUGGAAUUUUCCCUUCCAAGGGAAUUUUGAGAUAGGUCAAUAUGUUGCAGUCCAGACAUUAAACCAAUAUCUUAAGGAAUUUGGCCACUAACGUGUAUUUGUCCUUGGUAGACUUUGAAAAUUCUCAUUUUUUUGUUCUUGGUUAUUUUCCCCAUAAUCUGUUUUUGACCUGUUUGUA